UACGUAGGUGGCAAGCGUUGUCCGGAUUUACUGGGCGUAAAGAGCGCGCAGGCGGUCGAGUAAGUCGAAUGUGAAAGCCCCCCGGCUUAACUGGGGAGGGUCAUUCGAUACUGUUCGACUUGAAGGCAGGAGAGGGAAGCGGAAUUCCCGGUGUAGUGGUGAAAUGCGUAGAUAUCGGGAGGAACACCAGUGGCGAAGGCGGCUCCUGG
rnacentral:rRNA from 1 species